AUUGAACGCUGGCGGCAGGCCUAACACAUGCAAGUCGAACGGUAACAGGAAGAAGCUUGCUUCUUUGCUGACGAGUGGCGGACGGGUGAGUAAUGUCUGGGAAACUGCCUGAUGGAGGGGGAUAACUACUGGAAACGGUAGCUAAUACCGCAUAACGUCGCAAGACCAAAGAGGGGGACCUUCGGGCCUCUUGCCAUUGGAUGUGCCCAGAUGGGAUUAGCUAGUAGGUGGGGUAACGGCUCACCUAGGCGACGAUCCCUAGCUGGUCUGAGAGGAUGACCAGCCACACUGGAACUGAGACACGGUCCAGACUCCUACGGGAGGCAGCAGUGGGGAAUAUUGCACAAUGGGCGCAAGCCUGAUGCAGCCAUGCCGCGUGUAUGAAGAAGGCCUUCGGGUUGUAAGGUACUUUCAGCGGGGAGGAAGGGAGUAAAGUUAAUACCUUGGCUCAUUGACGUUACCCGCAGAAGAAGCACCGGCUAACUCCGUG
rnacentral:rRNA from 1 species